GCUGGGUGUAGUGGCGUGUGCCUGUAAUCCCAGCUACUCGGGAGGCCGAGGCAGGGGAAUCGCUUGAACCCAGGAAGUGGAGGUUGCAGUGAGCCAAGAUUGUGCCACUGCACUCCAGCCUGGGUGACAGAGCAAGACUUCGUCUCAA
ensembl:misc_RNA Metazoa_SRP Metazoan signal recognition particle RNA